AAGGAGCCUGUGCCCAGCUGUGGCCUUGCAGACUCCAGAACCCAGUGUUGUGUGGCUCCUGGGGGAGCAGAGCAGCAGGCGGGCACCGCGGGCUGCCUGGAGCACACACUGAGCACCUCAACUAGCUGCUCACAACACAACCCAGCUUUCUUUUUCUGAAAAGAUGGAGGAAGCCAAGUGCAUAUUGUUUUUUCAUCAUUUCCUUCAAAUUCAGCCAGAAAAAAAACCUGACAUUGCUCAUGAAGAUGCUUUUUCUGAUGAGCAUUUCAAUGAAAACUGGGAAGGAGCCAGAGAAGCAGCACCCUGCCUUGGGAACCCUGCCUGGCUCAGCUGCCGGCCCCGGCGGGGAACGUGCCCGCCCAGGCUGUGCUGGCCCCCUGCCCUCUGGGCAUGCAUUCAUGGGACCACGUUAGAAGCGCAGCAUUAUGAAACAAAACAAGACAAGGUAAAUAAGACUCAGGCUAGAUGACAAGGAAAUCAUUUAUUUCCAGGUCCUUGAAAGACCUUGAAAAAAAUAACAAGGGCGAGGAAAUCAACCUCCUAAUUUUGUUUGAAUAGAGAAGACUGUGGCAGCUGCCAGCUCCUCCUGUGGGUGUGGGAGGGCAGGGAGUGCAGGGCAGUGCCCAUGGAGCAGCCAGCUCACUGGGCACCGUGCUCCUCCCGUAUUUACAUGGGGGAUGGAAAUUAAAACGCAAGCGUGCGUGCAUGCGCAGUGGGGAGGACUGUCUGGUUGGGGAGGGGGAAACCCAGUGGGAGGGUGGCUAAACACGUACCCUGUCAGACCCCAUCUCCUACGGACAGAGCCCUACUAUUGCACAACACUUUUGCUAGAGGAAAGGCCGACUCCAGAGGGACUCCGACACUUCAGCCCAGAGGGAAAACACAUACACAUUCCUGAGGAAAGAGAGGGCUUUCUUUUCUCCUGCUCUGGGAUUCAGGGCAUCACCUCCCCUUGGCCCUGCUGCCUCUCCAGCAUCAUCACAGUGAACCAGUGGCACACCAGGGCGUGGGUGCCUGCAGCCUCCUUGGCAGGGACCAGAGAGACCCUGAGAAAUGAGCAGCUCCUGGUCCCAGCAGAAAGCCAAGCAUGGUGGCAGCGGGGAGGAGCAGCCAGGGGCAGGAUCCAUGGCAAAGAUGCAUCCUGCCUCUCUCCACCAUCAGGACUCACGCUGUGGCCAAAGGGCCAACACCAGCAGCCGGGAAGCAAAACAGCAUAAAAUGAACACGCAUGUACAUUUACAUUUAAGUCUUCUCCAAGGAUAGCAAACACCGUCUGUGGCUGAACUAAAAGGACAAACCCAGUGACAAGCCCAGGAUGUGUCAGGCCUUGGGAAACCUUAUCAGUU